UGAGUUUUAUUCACAAAACUUGGUGAACCAAAUCAAUAUUUCAUCAGAGUCAUCAAAACAGUUUCACACACCAAGAUGAGUAUGAGUAUUCAGACACGUUUAAAAGUUCACACGUUCUACUGUUGGGGAUCCCGGCCAGCUAAACAAUUGGUUUAGCUUUCCUUCCCGAAGGAAGUAUCAUACUUUACUUCACAAAGGAAGCAUCACACACAGAACAAAU
rnacentral:lncRNA from 1 species